rnacentral:misc_RNA from 1 species
GAUAAAUGUUUAGGGCCUGCUUGAUAUCCAUUUUGUUUUUGGUUUUGGUUUUUGUUGUCCAAUUAUUAAAGAAGAAUAACACUCUUCUCUUUUAUUUCAAGUUCUCCAACUAUUACUACUAUGAAACUAUAGGGUAGUAACAAUUUACAUAUUAUGGGCUGCUUCUAUAGAGCUAUGGUUUAUUGGUCAGGGCUAUGAUGAUCAUUUA